GACGAACGCUGGCGGCGUGCCUAAUACAUUCAAGUAGAACGCACAGUUUAUACCGUAGCUUGCUACACCAUAGACUGUGAGUUGCGAACGGGUGAGUAACGCGUAGGUAACCUGCCUGGUAGCGGGGAUAACUAUUGGAAACGAUAGCUAAUACCGCAUAAUAUUGAUUAUUGCAUGAUAAUUGAUUGAAAGAUGCUAUUGCAUCACUACCAGAUGGACCUGCGUUGUAUUAGCUAGUAGGUGAGGUAACGGCUCACCUAGGCGACGAUACAUAGCCGACCUGAGAGGGUGAUCGGCCACACUGGGACUGAGACACGGCCCAGACUCCUACGGGAGGCAGCAGUAGGGAAUCUUCGGCAAUGGACGAAAGUCUGACCGAGCAACGCCGCGUGAGUGAAGAAGGUUUUCGGAUCGUAAAGCUCUGUUGUAAGAGAAGAACGGGUGUGAGAGUGGAAAGUUCACACUGUGACGGUAUCUUACCAGAAAGGGACGGCUAACUACGUG
rnacentral:rRNA from 1 species